UUGGCUCAGCUCCAAACACAUUUCUACACCGAUAACAAGAAAUAUGCUGUAAAUGAUGUUUCCUUCUCAAUCCCUGCCGCCUCUGAAUUUGCUGACCUUAGUAACAUCAUCAAUAAAUUACUAAAGGACAAAAAUGAGUUCCACAAACAUAUGGAGUUUUAUUUCCUUAUUAAGGGCCAGUUUCUGCGAAUGUCCUUGGUCAAACACAUGGAACUGGAGAACAUGUCAUCAGAAGUAGUUGUGGAAAUAGAAUAUGUGAAGUACACAGCACCCCAGCCAGAGCAAUGCAUGUUCCAUGAUGACUGGAUCCUUUCAGUUAAAGGGGCAAAGGAAUGGAUCUUGACUGGUUCUUAUGAUAAGACCUCUCAAAUCCGGUCCUUGGAAAGAAAGUCAAUAAUGACAAUUGUUGGACAUAGGGAUGUCUUAAAAGAUGUGGCCUGGGCCAAAAAAAAAGAUAGUUUGUCUUGCUUAUUUGUGAGUGCCUCUAUGGAUCCAACUAUUCUCUUAUGGGAGUGGAAUAGAGAGAAACAAAGUGAAAGCCCGACCGUGCUGCAGAGGUCAUGCUGGAAGUGCAGAGUCUAUAGCUGUUGAUAGCUCAGGAACUAAAUUUUGUAGUGGCUCCUGGGAUAAGAUGCUAAAGAUCUGGUCUACAGUCCCUACAGAAGAAGAAGAUGAAAUGGAGGAAUCCACAAAUCGACAGAGAACACAGAGCAGCUAUGACUCCCAUAGUGACCCUCUCUGGUCACAAGGAAGCAAUUUCCUCAGUUCUGUGGUCAGAUGCUGAAGAAAUCUGCAGUGCAUCUUGGGACCAUACAAUUAGAGUGUAGGAUGUUGAGUCUGACAGUCUGAAGGCAAGCUUUGACAGGAAAUAAAGUGCUUAAUUGUAUUUCCCAUUCUCCAACUUUGUAAACGUUUAGCAUCUGGAAGCACAGAUAGGCAUACCAGACUGUGGGAUCCCCGAACUAAAGACCAUUCUUUGGUGUCACUGUCCCUAACUUCAAAUACAGGUUGCGUGACAUUAGUAAAAUGGUCUCCUACCCAUGAACAGCAACUGAUUUCAGGAUCUUUAGAUAACAUUGUCAAGUUGUGGGAUACAAGAAGUUGUAUGAUCUGGCUGCUCAUGAAGACAAAGUUCUGAGUGUAGACUGGAUAGGGACACAGGGCUACUUUUCAGUGGACAAGCAGACAAUAAAUUGUAUUCCUACAGAUAUUCACCUACCACUUUCCAUGUGGGGGCAUGA
rnacentral:lncRNA from 1 species